AGCGCCGGCUCCCGUGUGGAGGUGCUCUUAGCGGUGUUGUUUCUCGAGCAGCAGCAGCUCUCACUACAGCGCCAGGACGAGUCCGGUUCGUGUUCGUCCGCGGAGAUCUCUCUCAUCUCGCUCGGCUGCGGGAAAUCGGGCUGAGGCGACUGAGUCCGCGAUGGAGAAAACUUUAGAAACUGUUCCUUUGGAGAGGAAAAAGAGAGAAAAGGAACAGUUCCGUAAACUUUUUAUUGGUGGCUUGAGCUUUGAAACCACAGAAGAAAGUUUGAGGAACUACUACGAGCAAUGGGGGAAACUUACAGACUGUGUGGUCAUGAGAGAUCCUGCAAGCAAAAGAUCAAGAGGAUUUGGUUUUGUAACUUUUUCGUCCAUGGCUGAGGUUGAUGCUGCCAUGGCUGCAAGACCUCAUUCAAUUGAUGGGAGAGUGGUUGAGCCAAAACGUGCUGUUGCAAGAGAGGAAUCUGGAAAGCCAGGGGCUCAUGUAACUGUGAAGAAGCUGUUUGUUGGUGGAAUUAAAGAAGAUACUGAGGAACAUCAUCUUAGAGAUUACUUCGAAGAGUAUGGAAAGAUUGAUACCAUUGAGAUAAUUACUGAUAGGCAGUCUGGAAAGAAAAGAGGCUUUGGAUUUGUUACCUUUGAUGAUCAUGAUCCCGUGGAUAAGAUUGUGUUGCAGAAAUAUCAUACCAUCAAUGGUCAUAAUGCAGAAGUAAGAAAGGCUUUGUCUAGACAAGAAAUGCAGGAAGUCCAGAGUUCUAGAAGUGGAAGAGGAGGCAACUUCGGUUUUGGAGAUUCUCGUGGUGGUGGUGGAAAUUUUGGACCAGGCCCGGGAAGUAACUUUAGAGGAGGAUCUGAUGGAUAUGGAAGUGGUCGCGGAUUUGGGGAUGGCUAUAAUGGGUAUGGAGGAGGACCUGGAGGUGGCAAUUUUGGAGGUAGCCCUGGUUAUGGAGGAGGAAGAGGAGGAUAUGGUGGUGGAGGACCUGGAUAUGGCAACCAGGGUGGGGGCUACGGAGGUGGUUAUGACAACUAUGGAGGAGGAAAUUACGGAAGUGGAAAUUACAAUGAUUUUGGAAAUUAUAACCAGCAACCUUCUAACUAUGGUCCAAUGAAGAGUGGAAACUUUGGUGGUAGCAGGAACAUGGGGGGACCAUAUGGUGGAGGAAACUAUGGUCCUGGAGGCAGUGGAGGAAGUGGGGGUUAUGGAGGGAGAAGCCGAUAUUGAGCUUCUUCCUAUUUGCCAUGGCAUUGAUAUGAACCAUGGACAAGUAUAUUCUGCUGCCACAAAGACUGUAAAGUGCUUCAUUUCAACAGCUGAGGCGCAAGCCAAGUGAUCAUUAAUAAAGCUUUUCUUGGUUCCUUCAGUGGUGUUGGUAGUAAAAUGGAAGGUGUCUUGCUGCAGGUAACUAAUGAAGAAGUGGUCAACCACAGAGUCUUCAAGAAAUAAGAAAUACUGUACCAUCUGAAAGUAGUUCUUGUUGGUGCCUUCAUUAAAAAAAAAAGCACUUUAAGAUUAAAGGGAAAUGUUUUCUGAUAAAAUACAUCAUUUAGUACAGGUUCUCUUAAUAUAAAACCAUUACAAAUUGAGUACUGUUUGUAAAAGAGUAACAUCAAGUAAGCUAGAGAGAGAAAUGUAUCAUGUUUUAAAUUAGGUUUUGUGAGUAGACAGAUUAAAAUUCUAUUUUAAAUAUAAAGUUUAUAAAAUAAACACUUUUGUAUUCAAAUACUUGGUGUAAUGUUUACACAUAAAAUGUGUGAAUCUUGUUCUAUCAACUUACAGUUGUCUAAAAGAUUGCCAUCCCCUAGAGUUUUAAAGCAGUUUCACAAAGCUAUGCAUAUUGCCAUUUUUAUUUCAAUAUUAAUAGUCAAGAAAAGCAUUGUGGACAUUAUUGGCUGUCCCUAAUAAAAUGCCAUUCUUUUUAUACUGUA